UACGGGGGGGGCAAGCGUUGUUCGGAAUUACUGGGCGUAAAGGGCUCGUAGGUGGCCAACUAAGUCAUGCGUGAAAUCCCUCGGCUUAACCGGGGAACUGCGUCUGAUACUGGAUGGCUUGAGGUUGGGAGAGGGAUGCGGAAUUCCAGGUGUAGCGGUGAAAUGCGUAGAUAUCUGGAGGAACACCGGUGGCGAAGGCGGCAUCCUGGACCAAUUCUGACACUGAGGAGCGAAAGCCAGGGGAGCAAACAGG
rnacentral:rRNA from 1 species